AGGAAAGCAGGGGAUCGCAAGACCUUGCGCUUUUGGCGCGGCCGAUGUCUGAUUAGCUAGUUGGUGAGGUAAAGGCUUACCAAGGCUUCGAUCAGUAGCUGGUCUGAGAGGACGACCAGCCACACUGGGACUGAGACACGGCCCAGACUCCUACGGGAGGCAGCAGUGGGGAAUUUUGGACAAUGGGGGAAACCCUGAUCCAGCCAUGCCGCGUGAGUGAAGAAGGCCUUCGGGUUGUAAAGCUCUUUCAGCCGGAACGAAACGGUCACGGCUAAUACCUGUGAUCACUGACGGUACCGGAAGAAGAAGCACCGGCUAACUACGUGCCAGCAGCCGCGGUAAUACGUAGGGUGCGAGCGUUAAUCGGAAUUACUGGGCGUAAAGCGUGCGCAGGCGGUUUUGUAAGUCAGAUGUGAAAUCCCCGGGCUCAACCUGGGAACUGCGUUUGAAACUACAAAGCU
rnacentral:rRNA from 1 species